GCGAGCGUGGCGAAAUUGGUAUACGCGCCAGAUUUAGGUUCUGGUGUCGCAAGACGUGAGAGUUCGAGUCUCUCCGCUCGCACCA
rnacentral:tRNA from 2 species